GUGUCAACCGCCGCGGUAAUACGUAGGGGGCGAGCGUUGUCCGGAAUUACUGGGCGUAAAGGGCGCGUAGGCGGCGCAAAAAGUCAGAUGUGAAAAUCCUGGGCUUAACCGAGGGCUUGCAUUUGAAACUGUUGUGCUUGAGGGCAGGAGAGGAAAGCGGAAUUCCCAGUGUAGCGGUGAAAUGCGUAGAUAUUGGGAGGAACACCAGUGGCGAAGGCGGCUUUCUGGACUGCACCUGACGCUGAGGCGCGAAAGCCAGGGGAGCGAACGGGAUUAGAUACCCCGGUAGUCCUGGCCGUAAACGAUGGAUACUAGGUGUGGGAGGUAUCGACCCCUUCCGUGCCGCAGCCAACGCAUUAAGUAUCCCGCCUGGGGAGUACGGCCGCAAGGCUGAAACUUAAAGGAAUUGGCGG
rnacentral:rRNA from 1 species